CGAUGCGGGAUUCAAACUCAUGAGCCGCGAGAUCGUGACCCGAGCGGAAGUUGGAUGCUUAACUGGCUGAACCGCCCAGGCGCCCCUGUUGUGUGGAAUGCUUUUAAACUUUAAGCGUGACGUUUAUGUUUCCGCUACAUUAUUUUUUUAUUGUGGUAAAAUGUGCAUAACGUAAAACGGACCGUUUUAGCCGUUUUUGAGUGUGCACUUCGGUGGCAAGAAGUACAUUCACGUUGUGGUGCAACCGUCACCUCCAGAAAUGUUCACCUUCCCGAACUGAAAGUCUACCCCUUAAACGCUGACUCCCCACCCCUCCCGCCUCCAGCCCCAGCCCAUAGCAGCCCCCGCUUUCUGUCUUUAUGAAUUCAACUAUUCUAGACCUCAGAGGGCUCCCUUGUGUCUGGCUUGACCCAGCACAGUGACUUCCAGAGCUCAUGCACGCGGUACGCAUCUCAGGGUGUCAUUCCCCUCAUGGCCGAAUAGCAUUUCAUUGUACGGACCACACUGUGUUUAUCCGUCGUUCGGCGGUGGACAUUGGGGUGGUUUUCACGCUGGUAUUUUUAAGGCUCCGGAGUGAUACUCAUGACCCAUCAGGGAUGAAAAUCGAGGUCUUAGACCAGUGGUUCUUAAGCCUGGCUGAGCAUCCAAAUCACCUAGUAGCUGUUAAAAAAACAAGCCAAUGCCUGGUGAGCAUCACAGACCUGCAGACCAGCUGAAUUGGAUUCUCUGGAGGGGGACCCCGGAGUCUGCAAGAAUCUGCAGUUACUUCCAGAAGGCCAGGGUGUGAAGACUCAUUUCCAGAAACCCUGCGAAACCACCUCAGUUGAGAGCCGCUGCCCUGUGAGUGCCUGAUACUUGGGUAGGAGGCUAAGAUACCAGAUGGAGAAGCGGCAGCAGGAACGCACUGGCCCAGCCUGGCCGGGGAGGGGUGCUGUCUGGGGGCAGGCCCGGCAAUGAUGAGUGAGACUUCUGGUGACAUCAAACCUUCUCCUUCGGAAGCUGGUUCAGCGGGCUGUCAAUCAUAGUCACUAACCCUGCCCUGCCCUGCGAGACACUGGAGUCAAGCAAGGAGCAGCCACUGCACCCUGUUGCCCAGUCACUGGGUUGAUGAAUGAGACAACCCUGAAGGUCUAUUGAGUUCCUGGAUCCAGCCUGACCUGAAGCUAG